rnacentral:rRNA from 1 species
UCCGCAGGUGGCCAUUCAAGUCUGCAGUCAAAGGUCGGGGCUCAACCCCCGAAAAGGCUGUGGAAACUGAAAGGCUAGAGUACGGUAGGGGCAGAGGGAAUUCCCAGUGUAGCGGUGAAAUGCGUAGAGAUUGGGAAGAACACCGGUGGCGAAAGCGCUCUGCUAGGCCGAAACUGACACUGAGGGACGAAAGCGUAGGGGAGCGAAAG